CAGGGAGACAACAAAAUGUUUAAUAUUAUUAUUUUGUCACCUUAGGUCGAUCGGUAUCUCACGUUCUUAAUUUGUUAAGAAUUUCAUUUCCUAAGUUUUUCUAGGUCACACCCAUUAUUUUUCCUGGGCCAUUAGCUCAGGUGGUUAGAGCGCACCCCUGAUAAGGGUGAGGUCCCUGGUUCAAGUCCAGGAUGGCCCAUAUCUCUAUGUUGGGGGUAUAGCUCAGUUGGUAGAGCGCCUGCUUUGCAAGCAGGAUGUCAGCGGUUCGAGUCCGCUUACCUCCACUGAUUACCACCUCUUCCAUAACUGGUAAAAAGGAAAUGUUUUGAGUUGUGAUUAUUAUUCUGAACGAAUCUAGCUUCCUAAUGAAAUCAUUAAGAUGCUGGACUCAUUGAAUUAAUUUCAUUGUUUUCAGAGAACCUUGACAACUGCAUAGAAUUUUUUAAAGACAAUAAGCAUCUUUAAUGAUGCAGAUUUAUUAUUUGUGCGAAUGCAUUAAUAACAAUUCUAUUAAGCUGAUGCUUCAAUUUUUGAAGUUAUU
rnacentral:tRNA from 1 species